rnacentral:lncRNA from 1 species
CUACCUGCCUGGCUUUGUCAGCCUUCAGGGUCUCCAUGUCACUCUGCAGCUGCUCCUUCUCUCUGAUCAGCUCCUCACUGAGGGUCUCCAGAUCUUGGUUGCUCUGCUUUUCUCUCUCCAGCUGGGUUUGUAACUUUUCAAUCUGCAGAACCUUCUUGCUGAGCUGGUGGUUCUCCUUCUCCAGCUCCCCGCACUUGAGGCCGCUCUCCUCCAACACCAGGGACGCGUCCCGCAGCCCCUGGAUGGUGCUCUGGAGGCUCUGAUUCUCCUUCUCCAGCUUCAGGAUGCGGCUGGACGCACAUUCGUUCAGCUCAAACACAAACGACUUCCUGGAGGCUGA